ACUCAAAUAGCUUAAUGAGAGCAUAACUUUGAAGGUGUUAAGGUGGUAUAGUUACCUUUGGGU
rnacentral:tRNA from 1 species